rnacentral:rRNA from 1 species
UUAAGUUAGAAAGGGCGCACGGUGGAUGCCUUGGCACUAGGAGCCGAUGAAGGACGGGACUAACACCGAUAUGCUUCGGGGAGCUGUAAGUAAGCUUUGAUCCGGAGAUUUCCGAAUGGGGAAACCCACUGUUCGUAAUGGAACAGUAUCUUUACCUGAAUACAUAGGGUACUGAAGGCAGACCCGGGGAACUGAAACAUCUAAGUACCCGGAGGAAGAGAAAGCAAACGCGAUUCCCUGAGUAGCGGCGAGCGAAACGGGACAUAGCCCAAACCAAGAGGCUUGCCUCUUGGGGUUGUAGGACACUCAACAUGGAGUUACAAAGGAACGGGGUAGAUGAAGCGAUCUGGAAAGGUCCGUCAUAGAAGGUAAAAACCCUGUAGUUGAAACUUCGUUCCCUCCUGAGUGGAUCCUGAGUACGGCCGGACACGUGAAAUCCGGUCGGAAGCUGGGAGGACCAUCUCCCAAGGCUAAAUACUCCCUAGUGACCGAUAGUGAACCAGUACCGUGAGGGAAAGGUGAAAAGCACCCCGGAAGGGGAGUGAAAUAGAUCCUGAAACCGUGUGCCUACAAGUAGUCAGAGCCCGUUUAUGGGUGAUGGCGUGCCUUUUGUAGAAUGAACCGGCGAGUUACGAUUACAUGCAAGGUUAAGUUGAAGAGACGGAGCCGCAGCGAAAGCGAGUCUGAAUAGGGCGAAUGAGUAUGAGGUCGUAGACCCGAAACCAGGUGAUCUACCCAUGUCCAGGGUGAAGUCCAGGUAACACUGGAUGGAGGCCCGAACCCACGCACGUUGAAAAGUGCGGGGAUGAGGUGUGGGUAGCGGAGAAAUUCCAAUCGAACUUGGAGAUAGCUGGUUCUCUCCGAAAUAGCUUUAGGGCUAGCCUCACGUUGUAAGAGUCUUGGAGGUAGAGCACUGUUUGGACUAGGGGCCCUCAUCGGGUUACCGAAUUCAGACAAACUCCGAAUGCCAAAGACUUAUCCGUGGGAGUCAGACUGCGAGUGAUAAGAUCCGUAGUCAAAAGGGAAACAGCCCAGACCACCAGCUAAGGUCCCAAAGUUUACGUUAAGUGGAAAAGGAUGUGGAGUUGCUUAGACAACCAGGAUGUUGGCUUAGAAGCAGCCACCAUUUAAAGAGUGCGUAAUAGCUCACUGGUCGAGUGACUCUGCGCCGAAAAUGUACCGGGGCUAAACGUAUCACCGAAGCUGUGGACUGUUCUUACGAACAGUGGUAGGAGAGCGUUCUAAGGGCGUUGAAGCUAGACCGUAAGGACUGGUGGAGCGCUUAGAAGUGAGAAUGCCGGUAUGAGUAGCGAAAGAUGGGUGAGAAUCCCAUCCACCGUAUGCCUAAGGUUUCCUGAGGAAGGCUCGUCCUCUCAGGGUUAGUCGGGACCUAAGCCGAGGCCGAAAGGCGUAGGCGAUGGACAACAGGUUGAUAUUCCUGUACCACCUCUUUAUCGUUUGAGUGAUGGGGGGACGCAGGAGGAUAGGGUAAGCGCGCUGUUGGAUAUGCGCGUCCAAGCAGUUAGGCUGGUAAGUAGGAAAAUCCGCUUACCGUUAAGGCUGAGCUGUGAUGGCGAGGGAAAUAUAGUACCGAAGUUCCUGAUUCCACACUGCCAAGAAAAGCCUCUAGCGAGAUAAAAGGUGCCCGUACCGCAAACCGACACAGGUAGGCGAGGAGAGAAUCCUAAGGUGAGCGAGAGAACUCUCGUUAAGGAACUCGGCAAAAUGACCCCGUAACUUCGGGAGAAGGGGUGCUUUUUGAGGUGAAUAGCCUCGAAGAGCCGCAGUGAAUAGGCCCAGGCGACUGUUUAGCAAAAACACAGGUCUCUGCGAAGCCGCAAGGCGAAGUAUAGGGGCUGACGCCUGCCCGGUGCUGGAAGGUUAAGAGGAGAGGUUAGCGCAAGCGAAGCUUUGAAUUGAAGCCCCAGUAAACGGCGGCCGUAACUAUAACGGUCCUAAGGUAGCGAAAUUCCUUGUCGGGUAAGUUCCGACCCGCACGAAAGGU